AUUGAACGCUGGCGGCAUGCCUCACACAUGCAAGUCGAACGGUAACGCGGGGCAACCUGGCGACGAGUGGCGAACGGGUGAGUAAUAUAUCGGAACGUGCCCAGUUGUGGGGGAUAACUGCUCGAAAGAGCAGCUAAUACCGCAUACGACCUGAGGGUGAAAGCGGGGGAUCGCAAGACCUCACGCGAUAGGAGCGGCCGAUAUCUGAUUAGCUAGUUGGUGGGGUAAAGGCCCACCAAGGCUUCGAUCAGUAGCUGGUCUGAGAGGAUGAUCAGCCACACUGGGACUGAGACACGGCCCAGACUCCUACGGGAGUCAGCAGUGGGGAAUUUUGGACAAUGGGGGCAACCCUGAUCCAGCCAUUCCGCGUGAGUGAAGAAGGCCUUCGGGUUGUAAAGCUCUUUUGUCCGGGAAGAAACGGUUUCACCUAAUACGUGAGACUACUGACGGUACCGGAAGAAUAAGGACCGGCUAACUACGUGCCAGCCGCCGCAGUAAUAC
rnacentral:rRNA from 1 species